GAUGAACGCUAGUUACAGGCUUAACACAUGCAAGUCGAGGGGAAACGGCAUUGAGUGCUUGCACUCUUUGGACGUCGACCGGCGCACGGGUGAGUAACGCGUAUCCAACCUUCCCAUUACUGUGGGAUAACCUGCCGAAAGGCAGACUAAUACCGCAUAGUCUUCGAUGACGGCAUCAGAUUUGAAGUAAAGAUUUAUCGGUAAUGGAUGGGGAUGCGUCUGAUUAGCUUGUUGGCGGGGUAACGGCCCACCAAGGCAACGAUCAGUAGGGGUUCUGAGAGGAAGGUCCCCCACAUUGGAACUGAGACACGGUCCAAACUCCUACGGGAGGCAGCAGUGAGGAAUAUUGGUCAAUGGACGGAAGUCUGAACCAGCCAAGUAGCGUGCAGGAUGACGGCCCUAUGGGUUGUAAACUGCUUUUGUAUGGGGAUAAAGUUAGGGACGUGUCCCUAUUUGCAGGUACCAUACGAAUAAGGACCGGCUAAUUCCGUGCCAGCAGCCGCGGUAAUACGGAAGGUCCAGGCGUUAUCCGGAUUUAUUGGGUUUAAAGGGAGCGUAGGCUGGAGAUUAAGUGUGUUGUGAAAUGUAGACGCUCAACGUCUGAAUUGCAGCGCAUACUGGUUUCCUUGAGUACGCACAACGUUGGCGGAAUUCGUCGUGUAGCGGUGAAAUGCUUAGAUAUGACGAAGAACUCCGAUUGCGAAGGCAGCUGACGGGAGCGCAACUGACGCUUAAGCUCGAAGGUGCGGGUAUCAAACAGG
rnacentral:rRNA from 1 species